AUUAUUUUUGGUGUCCCCCAUGUGUUGCCUUAUAUAAUAGAGAUAAUUAAAGCCAAAACCAAGAGCAGUUUCUCAUCAUCGUCGCUCCCCUCAAACACCCGAUAGAACACAAUGCAAGCACACUCACCUGAAUUUUGCGCUGAAAUUCAAUCGCCGGCGAUCCGUCGUAUUUACUUGCUUUGAACUUGCCGGCCAUUUCGUCUGGCAGUGGAUUCGUCUUUGUUUUCCAAUUACGUCUUUGCCGGCAUCUGACUUUCGUUCGCCAGUGUUCUAUUACCACCACCACGCCACAACGACACCAAUUCGUCCGCCAGUAUCCUGGUAAUAAACUAAUCAUUCCCAAUUGAUCUCGCCCUCCAACUUGUUUUGUUAGGGUAAUUGAAUUAUAUAUACUUUUAUCGAAAUUCUUGUUUGUUUGUAGAUGUUCAUUAUAAAUUAAAUUGUAUGAUGAAAUUAAAUCUUUUUUAAACUUGUUAGAGUAUGAUGGUACAUGAAUGCUGUGAAAAUCACUUGAAAUGAAAUAAAUCAGAACUUUAUGUUGAGUUGAAGGGCUUCCUUACGUUUUACGGGCCAUUAAUUGAUGGUAUGUAAGGCUUAGAGUUUGAAAUGAUGUGCUAUGGUAAUGGGGAUAGCCAGAGCAUCGAGAUAACCGUGUCAGAUUAUUUUUUGAAACCACGACAUCAGCUUGAAAUUUUCUGGUGAUCUUCCUUGUAUCAAUGUUGGCAAACCAAAGAAGCCUUCAUACUUUUCGAUUGAGGUGAUAACUGAAUUUUGAUAGAACUACAGGAAUCCUUCCAUGUUAUAUGUGACAUAGAUGCUGAACUUCUUUGUACAAUUUAACAGCUAUGUGAUUUGGUUUCGCUGCAAAUUAAAGAUACACGAAGUCUUUGUCUGGAUUACAAAGAGCAAGCCUUGUUGAAAAAUCACGUCAGAAGCCGCAGGAGAGGAUGAAAGUUCUAACUAAUACCUUGACGAAAAGCAACUAUGCGGCAGAUCCGCUGCUCAACUCAUCUGACAUCUCUAUCAAUACUCAAUUUGCUCGGAUUGAUGGCCGCGUCUUGCUACCACCUCAGAUAACAAAUAUCUUUCUGCAUAAUUAGGAUGAGUGGCUUGAUACAAUGACAUUUGUGUUUUUUCACAAGCUAUUGUGUAUUAAAAAAAUGAACAUUUUGAGCCAUGAAUCGAUAAUGGAAAUUUUAUCUACAAAUCAUGUCCUGAUCAGCUGGAUGACAUGAUGUGGUGUCUCUAAUGAUAAUGUAAAAAUCUUUUUGUUUAUUUUUUCACUAUCCUCAAUUUUGCAGCUAAGAGUCGAAAACGGCGAGGAUUUCAGUCCUCGUAAUGGUAGAUGGAACUUCAAUAAUAAGGUACAAUAUACUUGAUUCAUUGUACAUGCUGGGUUAAUAACUGCCUUACUCCUGUCGCCUGUAGAGCUGGCAAUACGUUUGUUAAUGUAGGGAUUGUUCGAAAUAGCUAAACCUUCACAGAACUGGGUAAUUGUCAACUUUUCUGCACGCAUUGAUAUGAACAUCUUAUGCAGAGAUAUUGUGAAGUGUGGUCAGAGGAAAGGAAUGAAAGUAAUUGAUCCAUUUAAAGUCUUUAACGAGAACCCUCAAGGUCGAAGAUUGCCGGCUGCUGCAAGGGUGGAAAAGAUGAUGGAAAGUGUCAAGAAUGGACUCCGUAGUCCAUCUCAGAUGAUUUUGUGCAUUCUUCCUGGGAGGAAGAAUUGUGAUAUCUAUUGUUGUGAAUGUUCUCUUCUUGAUGCCUUAUAUAUUGCUAAUAUGAUCAUUGAGAUAAUUAUGUUGUUUUGGGGGAUCGAAGGGCCAUGGAAGAGGAAGAAUCUAGCUGAAAUUAGUCUUGUGACCCAAUGCAUAGCUCAAAACGGGUAUUAUUUGUAGGGAACAGCUCGACCAACUACGAUGUUGGAAUUUUUUUAUAUUGUGUGAUUCCUAGGUGCUCGAUUAUUUUUUUUGUUGAAUUUUUGGAAUCUUCUAACAUUAUAUUGAUAUGCAUGUGAUUUUGUAGUGAAUGAUAUUGAAUGAAUGAAAUGGUAUUCAAAUUUUAAAGUCAUU